rnacentral:rRNA from 1 species
AGCACUUUGAAGAGAGAGUUAAAGAGGACGUGAAACCGAUGAGAUGGAAACGGACAGAGUCAGCGUAUCUGGCCUGCAUUCAGCCGCAUGGCUGCUGUCGAUGAAUCGCUGUUUGCUCCAGAUUGGGCCUGUUGACUAGUCUGGCAGUGGUUCUGUGUGGUGCAUUUGCAGGUGGAGUGCGUCGAGGCGCUCGAGUCGGUAGCAUGAGCUCAGUUUUGAGGCCAGCCUGGCUGGUACCCAGACUGGAGGAUUGCUAUUCCUCUUGGGUUGUUUGUAUGGGUGAGGGCAACGGGCCUGGUUGAGUGCCAAGCUGGCGGUCGGAAGCGGUCGCUUGCGACACGUGCUGUACAUUCAGUUUGGUGUUGGCCAGCCGCUCAUCGCGAGCCCAAUCUCGGCGUAAAAGCUGGUCAUCUUUCCGACCCGUCUUGAAACACGGACCAAGGAGUUUAUCGUGUGCGCAAGUCAUUGGGCGUUGAAAACCCAAAGGCGCAAUGAAAGUGAACGUAUCCGUUAGGAGCCUACGUGCGAUCUCGGACAUUCCGGUGAACGGGCGCAGCAUGGCCCCAUCCCGACUGCUUGCAGUGGGGUGGAGGAAGAGCGUACGCGGUGAGACCCGAAAGAUGGUGAACUAUUCCUGAGCAGGAUAAAGCCAGAGGAAACUCUGGUGGAAGUCCGAAGCGACUCUGACGUGCAAAUCGAUCGUCUGACUUGGGUAUAGGGGCGAAAGACUAAUCGAACCAUCUAGUAGCUGGUUCCUUCCGA